GUGUCAGCCGCCGCGGUAAUACGGAGGGUGCAAGCGUUAUCCGGAUUCACUGGGUUUAAAGGGUGCGUAGGAGGGCAGGUAAGUCAGUGGUGAAAUCUCCGAGCUUAACUCGGAAACUGCCGUUGAUACUAUCUGUCUUGAAUACCGUGGAGGUGAGCGGAAUAUGUCAUGUAGCGGUGAAAUGCUUAGAUAUGACAUAGAACACCAAUUGCGAAGGCAGCUCACUACACGAGCAUUGACUCUGAGGCACGAAAGCGUGGGGAUCAAACAGGAUUAGAAACCCCUGUAGUCC
rnacentral:rRNA from 1 species